rnacentral:lncRNA from 1 species
GAAAUCGCUGAAAUCGACCAACAUCAACAGAAGCUGUUUCUGCAAAAUCACCUCCACCCUCUCCCUCUCCGUCCCUCCCGAAAUCGCCGCUCCCGUUUCACUCCAUCGUCUCAGAUCUCCAGCCCAACUGUUUCGGUAAGUUGUUCUUCUCUUUUUUUCAUCUCGGAUUUUUAUUUUCUUCCUCAUGAUUUUCUUUUUUAUUUGUUUAUUCCCAC